UUGGAGGGCAAGUCUGGUGCCAGCAGCCGCGGUAAUUCCAGCUCCAAUAGCGUAUAUUAAAGUUGUUGCAGUUAAAAAGCUCGUAGUUGAAUUUCGGGAUCAAUUUAUCGGUCGUGCCUCUGGUAUGCACUGGUAUUAUUGAUUUCUACCUUCUGACGAACCAUGAUGUCAUUAAUUUGGUGUCAUGGGGAAUCAGGACUGUUACUUUGAAAAAAUUAGAGUGUUUAAAGCAAGCACACGCUUGAAUACAUUAGCAUGGAAUAAUGAAAUAGGACGUUUGACCCUAUUUUGUUGGUUUCUAGGAUCGACGUAAUGAUUAAUAGGGAUAGUUGGGGGCAUUAGUAUUCAGUUGUCAGGGGUGAAAUUCUUGGAUUUAUUGAAGACUAACUACUGCGAAAGCAUUUGCCAAGGAUGUUUUCAUUAAUCAAGAACGAAAGUUAGGGGAUCGAAGACGAUCAGAUACCGUCGUAGUCUUAACCAUAAACUAUGCCGACUAGGGAUCGGAUGAUGUUAAUUUUUUAAUGACUCAUUCGGCGCCUUACGGGAAAC
rnacentral:rRNA from 1 species